UUUUAUUCUUAUAUGUAUGUUCUUCUACAGCAGUCAUGUUCCAAACAUAAUCCUCUCUAACCUCUGCAGCUUGCACCAUCUCUUGUCUAUCUCAACAUCUUCAAAUGCAAGCAAAUCUCCGAAACAGGAGAGCACAACAAAUUCAGAUGCUGCUGGAUACACAAGCUGUCAAAACAAUCCUUCCCGUGGAAAACAGGCAAGAUACAGACAACUCUUCAUUCUUGAGGUUCUUAUCCCGUGCCUUCUUUUUUAAACUGCCACAACUGGAAUCCGCAGAAUCCUAGCUUAACCUAGUCAACUACCAAAGAUGGACCUCUGAGGAAACUUUUCAUACAGAAUUCGCCCUACUCUGGUUAGGAUCCGUCCCUUUUUCUCGAGUAUUAAUCAGGGUGAUUCGGUCUUAACUACAUUAUUAGAUUGUUUGGUUUGCAGUUUUAUUAUUACAUGAAAAAGGCUCGGGCCUGAACUCAUUUCGAGAGCCCCUUAAAAUUGUAACUUGCAAAAUAAAUACAUUAAAUUCCAUAUAUAAAUUCUUUUCUUUA